CUGGCUGGGGGCUGCCCCGCUGAAGAAAACGGUGCAGGUCUCGGUCCAUUCCCCCGUGCCCUCUCCAGCUCUCCCCUCUCACCUCUCACCCUUGUUAUAAAUACCGCUCGGAUUCCUCACGCCCCCACACGGCCACACCUCUCCUCUCUCUCUCUCCCUCUGUCCAGCGCACUCUUUCUCCUCACUAGCUACCCACCUCAGCGAGCCAAGGCCGGCGAAGCGCAUCCAUCGGUCCAUGGAGUUGUACGUGGACGAGAAGUGGAAGUUCUCCAAGAAGAGCCGGAACAACGGCAGCCGGCGCGUCCCGGGAUCCGGCGGCGGGGACUCUCUGCUGAAGAGAUCGUCGAGCAUGAGGGACGUCGCGGCGAUCGGCCGGCGCGGUACCGGCGGCGCCGGCGCCGCGGCGGCGGGCGGGUGCGCGCCGCAGCCGUCGUUCUCGAGCCGGUGCGCGGGCCUGGUGAAGGAGCAGCGGGCGCGCUUCUACAUCAUGCGCCGCUGCGUCACCAUGCUCGUCUGCUGGAAGGACUGCUCGUAGCCACGGCUCCAGGGCCGGCCGGCGAAGAGGCUCGACCCCUCGCAGUUCCCCCCGCCCGUCCGCCCGCCCGCCAGGAUCAGAGAGAGAGAGAGAGAGAGAGAGUCAGCCAUGGGGCUGAAGCAAGCAAGCUGCAAGCCGGGGGGACACGGGGAAGAAGGCAGAUUAGGUGAUGUGUGUAUAGAUCAGUCAUCAGUCUUGAUUAGGAGUCCUCAUCUUUCUUCUUCUUUUUUACCUCCCAUUUCUGGGACGUUUUCUCGAUUGCCGGUGCUCGAUUAGGUAAAGAGUAGUAACUAGUACAGUACCUAGCGUUGCGAGGUAGAUGCGUGUGGUAUCGUGGACAGUUUUGGGAAUCCCCUUCUUCAAGGGGAAUGGGGAUCUGGGUUCUUUACAGCUGCAGUGCUGCGAAGGAGCACCGCAGGCAGCUGAGAUGAAAUCUAGUGGAUCUCUUCUGUUGUUAGUUGUACCACGACCACGGUAAAAAAAACAACAACAACGUCGUCAUCGCCCGGCCAUGUAUAGCUAAAGAAACCAGACG
rnacentral:misc_RNA from 1 species